rnacentral:piRNA from 1 species
UGUGCAAAGUUCGCAUGAUGUACGUUUAUGC